rnacentral:tRNA from 1 species
GGCCCGUUCGUCUAGUGGUUAGGACACCACCCUUUCAAGGUGGUUACACGGGUUCGAGUCCCGUACGGGUCA